rnacentral:ncRNA from 1 species
AGUCGGGGUGCUGCUGCCGUAACGGGUGGCGGCUGAGAUGAUACCCGUGAACCUGAUACAGAUAAUGCUGGCGUAGGAAACUGAUGAAACUU